UACGGAGGGUGCAAGCGUUAUCCGGAUUCACUGGGUUUAAAGGGUGCGUAGGUGGGCAGGUAAGUCAGUGGUGAAAUCUCCGGGCUUAACCCGGAAACUGCCAUUGAUACUAUCUGUCUUGAAUACCGUGGAGGUGAGCGGAAUAUGUCAUGUAGCGGUGAAAUGCUUAGAUAUGACAUAGAACACCAAUUGCGAAGGCAGCUCACUACGGGAUCAUUGACACUGAGGCACGAAAGCGUGGGGAUCAAACAGG
rnacentral:rRNA from 1 species